UACGAAGGGGGCUAGCGUUGCUCGGAAUUACUGGGCGUAAAGCGCGCGUAGGCGGCUCGGCAAGUCGGGCGUGAAAUGCCGGGGCUCAACCCCGGGACUGCGUCCGAUACUUCCGAGCUGGAGGUAGGUAGGGGAGAUCGGAAUUCCUGGUGUAGCGGUGAAAUGCGCAGAUAUCAGGAGGAACACCGGUGGCGAAGGCGGAUCUCUGGGCCUUACCUGACGCUGAGGCGCGAAAGCUAGGGGAGCGAAUAGG
rnacentral:rRNA from 1 species